rnacentral:rRNA from 1 species
AGUGUCUUGUGAAAGCCCACGGCUCAACCGUGGAAUUGCAGGGCAUACUGCCAUCCUUGAGGUCGGUAGAGGUUGCCGGAACUGUAGGUGUAGCGGUGAAAUGCGUAGAUAUCUACAGGAACACCCAAGGCGAAGGCAGGCAACUGGGCCGAUUCUGACGCUGAGGUACGAAAGCGUGGGGAGCAAACAGGAUUAGAUACCCUGGUAGUCCACGCCGUAAACGAUGUGCACUAGAUCCUGGAGGUUCUGACACCAUCGGGGUCGAAGCCAAAGUGUUAAGUGCACCGCCUGGGGAGUACGGUCGCAAGGCUAAAACUCAAAGGAAUUGACGGGGGCUCACACAAGCGGUGGAGCAUGUGGCUUAAUUCGAAGCAACGCGAAGAACCUUAUCCUGGGUUUGACAUGCACGGAUGCCCUUGUCGAAAGACGAGUAAGCUGCUCAUUCGAGUGAAACGUGCACAGGUGCUGCAUGGCUGUCGUCAGCUCGUGCUGUGAAGUGUUGGGUUAAGUCCCUUAACGAGCGAAACCCCUGUCGUUAGUUGCCAGCGCGCCUUCGGGUGGCGGGGACUCUAACGAGACUGCCGGUGUCAAACCGGAGGAAGGCCGGGGAUGACGUCAAGUCCUCAUGGCCUUUAUGCCCAGGGCUGCACACGUGCUACAAUGGUACGUACAAACCGAAGCAAUACCGUAAGGUGGAGCAAAUCGGAAAAAACGUGCCCCAGUUCGGAUCGUGGUCUGCAACUCGACCAC